ACUGGUCNAGAGGANAUCACCACCUGGGAUGAACACGGCCCAANUCCACGGGAGGCAGCAGUGGGGNUAUGGAAAGGGGGNACUCNAUCCAGCAAUGCCGCGUGAGUGAUGAAGGCCUUAGGGUUGUAAAGCUUUUACCAGGGAUGAUAAUGACAGUACCUGGGAAAAAAAGCUCCCGGCUNAACUUCCGUGCCAGCAGCCCGCGGUAAUA
rnacentral:rRNA from 1 species